UACAGAGGUCUCAAGCGUUGUUCGGAUUCAUUGGGCGUAAAGGGUGCGCAGGCGGCCAAGUGUGUUAGGCGUGAAAGCCUGGGGCUUAACCUCAGAAUUGCACCUAAAACUACAUGGCUAGAGCAUUGGAGAGGGUAGCGGAAUUCACGGUGUAGCAGUGAAAUGCGUAGAUAUCGUGAGGAACACCAGAGGCGAAGGCGGCUACCUGGACAAUUGCUGACGCUCAGGCACGAAAGCGUGGGGAGCAAAAGGG
rnacentral:rRNA from 1 species